CCCUUAGAUGUUCUGGGCCGCACGCGCGCUACACUGAUGCAUUCAGCAAGUCUUUUCCUUGGCCGAGAGGCCUGGGCAAUCUUUGAAUAUGCAUCGUGAUGGGGAUAGACGAUUGCAAUUAUUCGUCUUCAACGAGGAAUUCCUAGUAAACGCAAGUCAUCAGCUUGCAUUGAUUACGUCCCUGCCCUUUGUACACACCGCCCGUCGCACCUACCGAUUGAAUGGUCCGGUGAAGGCUCCGGAGGCGUCUUUCUCAAUGUUUAUUCGGCGAGAUUGGUGCCAAAGUUGAAUGAACCUUACCAUUUAGAGGAAGGUGAAGUCGUAACA
rnacentral:rRNA from 1 species